GUUUGCCCGCGCUUUUGCAUCGCACUCUCGAGCCAGGACAGGAUGGCGUCUGUAAAAGAAGUUCCUGAGCAAUCCAUGCAGGACACAGCAAAGCAGCACACAGGACGAGAGCAUCCUGGGUGACCAGGACACACUGCAGCCUGCAGGUAGGUGAUCCUCUUCUAGGUAACACAUCGAUUCUCUGC